rnacentral:rRNA from 1 species
UAACACGUAGGUAACCUGCCCAUGUGUCCGGGAUAACUGCUGGAAACGGUAGCUAAAACCGGAUAGGUAUACAGAGCGCAUGCUCAGUAUAUUAAAGCGCCCAUCAAGGCGUGAACAUGGAUGGACCUGCGGCGCAUUAGCUAGUUGGUGAGGUAACGGCCCACCAAGGCGGUGAUGCGUAGCCGGCCUGAGAGGGUAAACGGCCACAUUGGGACUGAGACACGGCCCAA